GAUGUACUCCAUCCGUCCCAAAAUUCUUAUUUUAAAUUCGUCUAGAUAAGGAUGUAUCUAAUAUUAAAACAUGACUUGAUAUAUCCGUAUGUAGACAAAUUUAAGACAAAAAAUUUGGGACGAAAGGAGUAACAA
rfam:Triticum urartu cultivar G1812 contig372246, whole genome shotgun sequence.